AGGGACAGACGCACACACACACAGGGACGCACACACACAGGGACAGACACACACAGGGACAGACACACACAGGGACAGACAAACACACAGGGACAGACACCUGUGCGAUGGUGAGAUCGUCAACCAACUUCUAGCUAAUCUAAUUCAGUACAGGC